UACGUAGGGGGCUAGCGUUGUCCGGAAUCAUUGGGCGUAAAGAGCGUGUAGGCGGCCAGGUAGGUCUGCUGUGAAAACUCGAGGCUCAACCUCGAGACGUCGGCGGAAACCAUCUGGCUAGAGUCCGGAAGAGGAGAGUGGAAUUCCUGGUGUAGCGGUGAAAUGCGCAGAUAUCAGGAAGAACACCCGUGGCGAAGGCGGCUCUCUGGGACGGUACUGACGCUGAGACGCGAAAGCGUGGGGAGCAAACAGG
rnacentral:rRNA from 1 species